rnacentral:rRNA from 1 species
UGGGGAAUAUUGGGCAAUGGGCGCAAGCCUGACCCAGCAACGCCGCGUGAAGGAAGAAGGCUUUCGGGUUGUAAACUUCUUUUCUCAGGGACGAAGCAAGUGACGGUACCUGAGGAAUAAGCCACGGCUAACUACGUGCCAGCAGCCGCGGUAAUACGUAGGUGGCAAGCGUUAUCCGGAUUUACUGGGUGUAAAGGGCGUGUAGGCGGGAAAGCAAGUCAGAUGUGAAAACCAUGGGCUCAACCUGUGGCCUGCAUUUGAAACUGUUUUCUUGAGUACUGGAGAGGCAGACGGAAUUCCUAGUGUAGCGGUGAAAUGCGUAGAUAUUAGGAGGAACACCAGUGGCGAAGGCGGUCUGCUGGACAGCAACUGACGCUGAGGCGCGAAAGCGUGGGGAGCAAAUCAGGAUUAGAUACCC